CAGUUUGAGCCUACCAACCUGACUUCACUAAUGCAGGGGUGGGUGGAGAUUUUCAUAACUCUCACUAGCUAGUCCAAGUCAACUAGGGUCCAGAACCCUGUAAUGGUGCCCAUAUGAAGGGACAGGGCCCAGCUGAUAGGGUCCUGAGUGAAGGUAGGCCCAGGCAGCUGGAUGUUCCAAUUCUUUUCUCACCUGAUAGCAUGUCCUCAUUCAUUCAUUACUCCUCUCUCAAACAGUCUCUCAGUCUCGUUUUGUAGCUUGGCCUCUUCUCUCUCAUCAUUCCCUUCUGCUCUGUGCUGGCUGCUGGCUCAGUGUAGAUGAGAAGACAUCUUUAGGAGCUUGUGGACAAACGGGGAAAAUUUCUUCUCCAGACUUUCAACUUGGUGCCCAGAAAUCCAGUGGGGUGACACCUGCUCCCUGAUACCAGCACCAGCUAGUGAGGCAGAGGCAAAGGGAGGUGCCAGGCAGCUUCUUGAACACUGGGAGGGCAGCAGGGACAACAAGGGCAUUCCUGGCGAAAGAAGGGCAGUUUGGGGCAAAGCUGGUGAGGUGCUUUAGUAUGACUGGGCUCAGGUGCCAAAGGGUGUGGUUUGGGAGCAAAUGAAGCUGAAGAGGAAGCAGGGCCCAGACCCCAAUUGGCUUAGCAGAUCCAAAGAGAAGUUCAGGGCUGGGAUUAUGGCUCAGCGGUAGAGCGCUCACCUAGCAUGGUCGGUCGGGACCCGGGUUUGAUCCUCAGCACCACAUAAAAAUAAAGGCAUUGUGUUGUGUCCAAAGAGAAGUUCAACUGCAUGCCAAGAUGACCAGGAGCCACUGAAGG
rnacentral:lncRNA from 1 species